AAGGAGGGGAGCUUUAAAUGGGUGCAGAGUUUCUUUUGUGGAUGAUGAAAAUGUCUAAAAUUGAUUGAGUUGAUGGUUGCACAACUCUGUGAAUACACUAAAAAUCACUGAAUGAGUCACUUAAAAAGGAUGAAUUUUGUGGUAUAUGAAUUAAAUUUCAACAGAAAAACGCUGACAUCCAAGAUCUCAAACUCUCCCUCGACCCUGGCACUCCUGUCUCCAU